UACAGAGGUCCCAAGCGUUACUGAGAAUCACUGGGCUUAAAGGGUGCGUAGGCGGUCCGUUAAGUCAGUUGUGAAAUCCCCGGGCUCAACCCGGGAACUGCUUCUGAUACUGGCGGACUUGAGGCCAGUAGGGGUCACUAGAACUGACGGUGGAGCGGUGAAAUGCGUAGAUAUCGUCAGGAAUGCCGGUGGUGAAGACGGGUGACUGGGCUGGUUCUGACACUGAGGCACGAAAGCAUGGGGAGCGAACGGG
rnacentral:rRNA from 1 species